UUCCUGCCUCUCAUAUCGAUU
ensembl:piRNA 21ur-3333 ncRNA